rnacentral:rRNA from 1 species
AUUGAACGCUGGCGGCAGGCCUAACACAUGCAAGUCGAGCGGUAGAGAGAAGCUUGCUUCUCUUGAGAGCGGCGGACGGGUGAGUAAUGCCUAGGAAUCUGCCUGGUAGUGGGGGAUAACGUUCGGAAACGGACGCUAAUACCGCAUACGUCCUACGGGAGAAAGCAGGGUACCUUCGGGCCUUGCGCUAUCAGAUGAGCCGAGGUCGGAUUAGCUAGUUGGUGGGGUAAUGGCUCACCAAGGCGACGAUCCGUAACUGGUCUGAGAGGAUGAUCAGUCACACUGGAACUGAGACACGGUCCAGACUCCUACGGGAGGCAGCAGUGGGGAAUAUUGGACAAUGGGCGAAAGCCUGAUCCAGCCAUGCCGCGUGUGCGAAGAAGGUCUUCGGAUUGUAAAGCACUUUAAGUUGGGAGGAAGGGCAGUAAAUUAAUACUUUGCUGUUUUGACGUUACCGACAGAAUAAGCACCGGCUAACUCUGUGCCAGCCGCCGCCGUAA